UCCACUAGUACUAGAGGAAGGAGGGUCCCUAAACCUUAGUUAGACUGAUAUAGUCUCUCUACUACCUCACCCAUCCACUAGUACUAGAGGAAGGAGGGUCCCUAAACCUUAGUUAGACUGAUAUAGUCUCUUUACUACCUCACCCAUCCACUAGUACUAGAUGAAGGAGGGUCCCUAAACCUUAGUUAGACUGAUAUAGUCUCUCUACUACUACACCCAUCCACUAGUACUAGAGGAAGGAGGGUCCCUAAACCUUAGUUAGACUGAUAUAGUCUCUCUACUACUACACCCAUCCACUAGCACUAGAGGAAGGAGGGUCCCUAAACCUUAGUUAGACUGAUUUAGUCUCUCUACUACUACACCCAUCCACUAGUACUAGAGGAAGGAGGGUCCCUAAACCUUAGUUAGACUGAUAUAGUCUCUCUACUACCUCACCCAUCCACUAGUACUAGAGGAAGGAGGGUCCCUAAACCUUAGUUAGACUGAUAUAGUCUCUUUACUACCUCACCCAUCCACUAGUACUAGAGGAAGGAGGGUUCCACUAUGAAAAAGGCCUAUCAGUACCUCCACAGUGGUAAGGUGGGCCGAGUUCUUCUUCACCAGGAGGAGGGAAAAGGAUUGGUCAUUUUUGAAGGCCGAUAUUCAGCCCAGCCAAUCAAUCAGCUCCUACCACUCUGCUUGGGAACUUGUAUCCAACAACGGAUCAGUAGAGACGGCUGGAUGUCCUUGCAUCGCUGGCCUUGGAAAGUCAUGCAGCCUCCAUUUUGUGGAAGCAGAACUGCCGUGUUAAUGUGGGGAAUCAGUAAGUAUCCUGUCCAAUCUCAUGUUGAGGAAGCAAGGCAGGUUUAUGGAGUCCAGGUGAGUAGGGGAUAACAUUUAUUUAAACAUGUCAGCAUCACAUUUCUUUAGUGUUAUUAGUCUUUAGUGUUAUUAGUCUUUAGUGUUAUUAGUCUUUAGUGUUAUUGUUUUUUCUGGGUGAAUAAGGUUUGUAAAAUAUCAUUGUGGUUGGGGGUAAUGCCUAAAGUAUGGUAAGUAUAAGUGGCCUCAUCUCAUUGGGAACAAUAUCAAGGUAAGUUUAUGAUGAAACUUGCAUGUGUUUUGAUUAAGUUGAUCACAUAGUCCUCAGUCACACAAUUGUUAAUAAUGGGAUUUUCUCUGAGUGUCUUUUUGUAACAAACAUUCUAUCACAGGUGCAGGGUGUCCAGUGGGCUAACUGGCAUAGCCUGCACAGAUGAGCAGCGACAAUGGAAUGCAGGGACUCAGAGGAACCUUGAGCCAAAGCGGAUAAACAGCAUUGACUUCACACACCAUAAGGCCAGUGACCAACAUGCAGAAAAGCGUCCAGAAUGUCCAAGCCUGCCUCCCACCCCUGCCUCCCACGCCUGCAUUUCCACCGUCACGUGCAUCAGCGAUUAUUGGACUCAACUGGACUCAAUCACCUCUGUCAUUACCUCCCCUAUAUCUGUCUGGUUCCUCGCUCUAUUCCCUGCUGCAGCAUUCAUUGUCAUAUGUCCUUGUUUACCCGUGUGCUGACGCUGGUCCUGGUUUGUUACCUGUCUGUUCCGUAUUAAAUGUCAACUCCCCGUACCUGCUUCUCAUCUCCAGUGUCGGUCCUUACAGUGAGCUGAACUCUCGUUUUAAAGGUCAACUCCCCGUACCUGCUUCUCAUCUCCAGUGUCGGUCCUUACAGUGAGCUGAACUCUCGUUUUAAAGGUCGACUCCCCGUACCUGCUUCUCAUCUCCAGUGUCGGUCCUUACAGUGAGCUGAACUCUCGUAUUAAAUGUCGACUCCCCGUACCUGCUUCUCAUCUCCAGUGUCGGUCCUUACAGUGAGCUGAACUCUCGUUUUAAAGGUCGACUCGGCGAUAUGAUGUAGAUACAGAAAGUAAACAGCUUAGUGGGUCAAUUCUCACAACAUCUAAGAGCGUUGAAGCGCAAAUCUCAACCUCUCCGCUGUUUUGAUGCCCUGGCUACCACGCUGUACACAGUGUGAAGUGUAUCCGUGCACAUGCAUAGAUACUGUGUGUGAGAGUGAAAUGUUGCAUCUCGCCCAUCUCAAUAUCUCCGGUGUUGCUCGUGGCAACAUCAUUUUGCUGAGUCUACCUUUAAUUAAUAUGGGGAAACUAUUCCUUUUUAAAUCGAUUUUUCAAAAGAAACAUUGAACAUCUAAUAGUCAAAUCAUAUUGCAAAAGCAGGUGAGCUGGUUCUACUCUUCUUGGACAUUUUGUGGUGGAAAGCUGAGCAGAUUGACUAUAAUGUAGAUAAGAUAUAAAUGUUUUUACAAUAAAUACAACAUUUUGAA